rnacentral:lncRNA from 1 species
UUUACAUUCAUCCUUGGCAAAAAUUAAACAUAACUAUCAUUGAAAGAACAUUCCUCCAUUGAUUCAGAAACUAACAACUCUGCUGAAGAAUCUGAUUCAAUCUCUCUUCCAGUUCCGGAGAUAUGUCGAGAAGAAGAGAAGAAAGGUCUAGGAGGCAUUUGCAAAUCGUCAAUACUCCCUUCUAGCAUCUCCAAAACUUUUGUCAUAGAGGGGCGAUCUGCUGCCUUCACCUGAAUACACCACAAACCAAUCAUACACAGUUUCCUUGCUAUCAUGGAUUCAAUUUCAGUAACAUUCUGAAGCUCUAAAUCACCUCCCUUAUUUAAUUGGUCAUAUACCCAAGAUGGGAAAUAUGCUUUGCUUGAACGAGUUGCAUUCAUAUUGGAAUUCCUUCUUCCUCCAGCCAUUUCCAACAACACCAUCCCAAAACCGUAAACAUCUGACUUGCAAGAAACAGUUCCAAAAUUCCUUGAAAUCAGCUCAGGUGCUAUGUAUCCUAUGGUUCCUCUUGUGGCACUGAUGGACACAAAAUCAUUUUCCUUGGGAUGAAACUUUGCAAGGCCGAAAUCUGAGACCUUUGGGAUGAAAUUAUGAUCUAGAAGGAUGUUGUGAGGCUUAAUGUCGAAAUGAAGAAUGCAGACAUCACAUCCGUUGUGUAAAUACUCGAUCCCACGGGCAGUUCCUAAAGCAACUUCGUGGAGUUUCUCCCAACAAAGAGAUUGGCCUCUACUCUCCUUGGGAAAGACAUGCCUAUCGAGUGAUCCAUUAGGCAUAUACUCGUAGACAAGUGCCCGUUUGGAUCCCUCGGAACAGAACCCCAAUAGCUGGACUACAUUAACGUGGUGAAUUCUACCAAUUGUUGAAACUUCAUUGAUGAAUUCCUCCGCACUGAACUUGGAGUUCUCCAGCAUCUUAACAGCAAUCAAGCCACCAGUCUGAAGCUGUCCUUUAUAAACUGAACCAAAGCCACCUUGGCCUAAUUUAUGAGUGAAGUGGUUUGUCAUGGCAAUUAUCUGAGGGUAAGAGUACCUUUUAGGCAUCCACGAUUGCUGGUUACGCAGAAAUUUCUCAAUAUUAUCAAUUGUUUUCAAUGUCGUUCUGUAUUUGUGGAUAAGGAACACAAGUAAAACUGUUGAACCAAGGAUGAACCGAGUAAUUGUAAGAUACACGAAUGCACCGUCUGGAAACAAGGAAGUUUGAUUCUAGGUAAGUAGCUGAAUUCGAAAUAACAAGAACAGGCAUUCCAGCCAGGAAACCAUACCUAACAGUAACCAUUCGAGCCUGCCGUAAAGUGGCGGGAGUUUGUAGGAAACUGCGGGCCGAGGAAAAAAGAUUAGGCUUUAUACAUACAUACUCUGAGAGAUGAUUCAGAAAAGUUAUAUAUUAAGCACAAGAUUGGAGAAUAAAUAAACAAAUCGCAUAAGGCCAUCACUUUAACACCAACAAAAACAAACGCAGGAUCUAAGAUAUGUAAGCAUAGGCUUGUUACGUGUCAAAAGUUGUUGGUAGCAAAUAAAUUUUCCGAAUACUCCUUGUGCGAUGUGGCAUCCUGCAAAGCCUGCAAAAGUGCAAAAGAUAUUAAGGGUCAAACAGGUAUACAUACUCUUUUAGAGAUUGUCCACAAAUUCUUAAAUACGUAAAAGAUUAAGAUUGAAAACAUUAAAUAAAAGAGUCUCCAUUUAUUUGUAAGCACAUAUAAGCAUAAGCUUACUGUUUGUAAUUGAGCUAGAAUCGAAGCAAUCAAUAUUUCCCGUUCUAUCUGUACUAAUGCAUUCUCUACCGGCCGCUGCAUAACAAUUCCUGCAUCCAACUGACCAUCUAAGAUCGAAUCCUGUCUCCAACAAUUCUCGGAGGGUUUCAUAAGAAGGAUUUUCCACAUUCCCAUUAUGUACAGGAACCAUUGAAACGAACGAGCAUGACUCUGAAAAAUCUGAUACAUAGGAGCCAUGGUAAUUAACAUAAACAUUUGACUGAUUUCCUCCACUCAAACAUGGAACUCUUAUAAAAGCCUGAUCAAUGAGAUCCCUCGAGCAAUUCACGAAAUAGGCGUACAGGUGUUUAUAAUAAUCAAGUGCAUAAACCCGAUCGGUAUAAAAAAAAUAGCGACUGUUUUUAAGGCGAAAGAUUUCUCUGGGAAAAGAUGUGAAUGGAAGGCCGCAGCUUCCAUUGGCCAAGUUAACAUCGGCAACACUGAUUGUGCUUUCGUCAUAGGAAAUUCUCUUUACAUAGUACAUCGCAGAAUUGAAUAAUUCUAGGAUGGUUUGGUUGCUCCGGCAAGACAGUUCGAACUCAGGAUAACCGCAUCCCGAUGGAUCUCCCUUUAGGCGAAAAGGGUAGCUAAUGUUUUUGAUAUCGCCACAAGAAGAGGAACAGGUUUGUUGAAGUACUUCUCUUGCUUCAGUUUCAGUGGUGAAUAGAUAGAUCAAUAGACAAAACAGAAGAGUUGAGAGAAUUGAUGAUUCUUCCCCACUCAUUGUUAGUGCAAUCCCAGGAUACGAUGAAUUUCAAUAAAUUAAACAGAAGGUUGCAUUUUCAAGGUUUUGGGUGCGCAUUUACAUCAUUACUUCACAACGAGCACGUGUAUAUAGUAAAUUUAUUAUAGCAUUCAACUAUCUGAUUCUACUAGCUGAAGAUGAUAUAGCAAUAAUUAAUUGUUCAAAAAUAGUACUAUCUUAUUCUUAAAAAAAUCAUCAACAAUAAUUAAUCGUUCAAAAGUAGUAUUAUCCUAUCUGAUUCUACUAGCUGAAGAUGAUAUAGCAAUAAUUAAUCGUUCAAAAGUAGUAUUAUCUUUUUUUUUUUUUAAAUAAUAAACAAAGGUGGGGAAAUUGAAAAGGUUUAAAAGAGCAUAUUAAUUGAAUUUGUUUGAGCGCAAGACUUUUAGCAUCCAUGCCAGAGGGGACACCGGACACUCUUACAAGUCAGUCAACUCUUAGUAAACGUUUUGAUUGCAAGUUUGCGUCGGUGAUUAUGACCCUAGCUUGACCUGAAAUUUCGUAGUAAACCUUCAAAUUGAGACAAAAAUUUUGUAACAAUUUCCACGCAUGAAACAAUCCAGUCAACAUCUUUCGCUCGCUACUUUAAUUUCUCACCACAAACUCGGAGACAAUAAUUCAUUUUUUUUAUGAGAACACAGAACAUGCUUUGAUAUAUAAAAUAUAUGAUAAUUUUAUUUAUUACAUUUGUUUUUGUUUCAAGGCUAACACUAUGUUACGUUGAACGCAACAUACACUCAAAAGAGACAAUAUCUAUUAAUACCCUUAAACUUUAUGGAAACUACGUUAAUUGAAUUAAAAGAAAUGCUUUUAAAUCUCAAGGAAGAAAUGAGAGAAAUUAAACAAGAAAUAAGAAAAAUAAAAAUAGAACUAUCUGUAAUACAAAUGAGUCAAAAGAAAAAUUAAAAAGUAGAAAAAUUUGAAAUGUUAAAAUCAGGAAUAAUUGGAACAAGUUUUAAGAAACCUAUAGAAAAACCACAAACAGGGAGUUAUGAUGAUUGGUUUAUAAAAACCCAAUACCCAAGAAUAUUAGAAGAAACAGAAAAAUUAAAUGCAGAAUUAAAAAAGAAAGAAAAAGGCAAAGAAAAAUUAGAAAUAAAAGAAGUAACCCCUAGUGAUUCAAAGUAAUGGAAGAAUUAACUGAAAAAUUUAGUGAUAUAAACCUUAGUGAUUUAGAAGACUUUGAAAAAGAAUAUUGCAUAAAAAUGAAUACUGCUGGAGGUCCAGAAAUGAAACCUAAUAUUGAAGAACCAAGCCAUAGGAAUGAAACAAAUAAAAAGAAAAAUAGACCAUUUUUUGAAUAUUACCCACCUAUUAAAAAGAAUCAAUGGAAAAAAGAAUACCAACCUAAUAAUGACCACCUAACUCCAAUAAGCAAUGCAGGCACAUUUCUAGACUUAGACUGCAAAAUAGAUCCCCGAAAAGCUUUAGUAGAAUGGGGAAUGCAAAUGAAAUUAUUUUUUAUAUUUAAUGGUUCUAGAGACGAUUGGAAUGUUGAAAUAGAAGAAGAAAAAAUAAAUAUAUUUGCUGACAUUUUAAUAGCAAGUUUCACAGGAAACGUAUUUAAUUGGUGGAAAGGAUUAAGUGAAGAUACACAAAAAUUAAUAAAAGAUUCAACCAAAAUAGCAUUAGGAAGAAGUAAAGGAUUAGGAAUUGAAAGAAUAAUUGAAUAUAUUGCUAGUGAGUUCUUAGGAGAAGACUGGUUGCAAAAUUCAGAAAAUGAAGCAAAACGUGAUAAAUUAGAUGCUAGAAUGAAACUAAUAAAUUUAACAAUUUGUAAUAUGUGUUUUGUAAAAGAAUAUACCUGUGAAUUUUCUAAAUAUUAUUAUACUCAAUUCAUGAGUCACGAAGACCAAAAUAUCUAUAAGAAUUUAUACUAUUCUAAACUUCCAUACCCUUGGAAUGGAUAUUUUAUUAAUGAAUAUGAAAAGUACACUAGUAGUAGUGAUAAUAGACUCCCAGAUACAUUAGGAGCUAGAAUAAGAUUCUUAAAUACAAGAUUAAGUGAAAUAUGUAUUCAAAGGAGUUUAAUAAAAAAGAGUAAAAAUAUAACAAAAAUAUGUUGUGAAAAAACGGAGAUGCCUACCCAAUGGGGAUGUUAUGCACCUCAUAAACGACACAGGAAAUCCUACAAAAAGAAAAAAGAUAUAAGAAAUACAAUAAUUUUAAAAGAAAAUAUAAAAAAUCAGGAAGAAAAUAUAAAAACCAAAGAAAGAUAUUAGACAAGUCCAAAUGUAAAUGUUGGAAUUGUGGAGAAAUGGGACAUAUUAGUACAGACUGUACAAAAAAGAAAGUUAGACUUCUAAAAGAAGAUUUUGAAAAUAUAGAGAAUGACUUAGAAGAAAUAAACAAUCUAUCAGAUAAUGAAGGAGAAGAAGUUUAUAUGGUAGAAGAAUAAGAAAAUGAGUCAAAAUAAAGAAGAAUUAAUGGAAAAUGAAAAGAUAGAAGAAAUUGAAGAAAUAGAGCAAGAAGAGAAUAAAAGUGGAUAUAGUCUUGUUGCUACUUUUAAUAAAGAAAAAUAUAAUAAACUUUUAAAACUAAAUAUGGAAAAACCGAAAUAUGGAAUAAUACAUAGGUUCAGAGAUAUGUUUAAAAGAAAAUGAAUAGUAUUACAUGAAUACUAUGAAUAAGAAAAGGCCGUAACAAUCACACAAGCAGAGGGAAACAUUAGAUUUAGUUUAAUAAAUAAAAGAUCUAUAGAUUUAGCGUUAAGAAAAAUAAAGAAUGAGUCAACAAAAGAAAAAAUCCAAUAUGUAUAUUUAGCAGAAAUCCAAAUCUUAAUAAAAUCUCUUUUCAAAGAAGGCAUAGAUAGUCCCAUAGUUUUAUCAUUACACGAUCAAAGAUUUACUAAUCCUAGCAUAGGACAUUUAGGAACCAUAGAAGGAAAUUUAUGUUAUACUAAACUACUAUUUACCUGUCACCCUAGAUAUUGCGUACAUAUAAAGGAUAAAAACAUAGAUGAAACAUUAAGUUUACAUUUUAAAUUAUUAAAAAAGAACUUAAUGAAAGAAGGGAAUAGAAUAAUGACAAUACACUAUUCAGCUUUAUAUAGUUUUUGUAAUUCAAAUUAUGGAGAAAUAUAUGGAAAUAAACCUUACAUUGAGAUAAAUAAAGAUUGUGAAGAUAUAGCGACAUUUAUAGAACCAAUAAUCCAAGAUUAUAAAAUCCCUAUUAAUUAUGAAUUAAAUAUAGAUGAUAGAAAACAAUUUUUAGAUAAUAAUAAUGAAAACUCCAUUAUCCCUAUAAGUUUUGCAGGAAGAACCUUGAUAAGAGGAAAUUCAUCUAAAAGACUAAGUAUUGAUAAACAAAUAGUUCAACCUAUUGUAACUAAUAAUGUAAUAAAAAUACAUGGACAGUACUUUAAUGGAAUAGUUUAUACAGCAAAGAUACCAAUACUCGUAGAUACUGGAACAAUUCAUAACUAUAUGAACCACACUAAAAAUAAAGGACUUUUGGUAAAAGAAAAAGAAAUUCCAUAUGAAUAUACAUAUUUCAAUGGAAAUAAACAUAUUUGUAAACAAGAAGUUAAAGUCCCUAUAAUCAUAGAAGGACUUAGAAUAAUAGUACCUUGUUAUAUAGACUCAUUCAUGACUACAGAUCCGGAAAAACAUAUAGUACUAGGAAAUAGUUUUUUAAACGAUUUAGAAUAUUACAAAAUAGAAAAGAAUAAAAUAACCUUACAAAUACAAGGCCAAAAGAUAAUAUGUGAAACAUGUUAAAACAGGCUUAUAUAAAAUACCCUAUGUCUGUCUAUAUACAAAUAAAUAUAACAGAAAAAGAUAUAGAUACAUGUGCCUUAAUCGAUACGGGUAGUGAAAUAACUAUUAUGAAAUCCUUUUUAUCCAGGAAAUGGGAAUUAAAUGGAAAAUUAAAAAUUAUUGGAAUAACAGGAGACAAACAACAAGUAAAUCAAUCUAUAACAAACUUUGAAAUAUUGUUAGGAAGUAAAAUAGUACGUAUUAAUCAAAUAUUUCAAUACAAUAAUAUGGAUUGUGAUAUCCUUUUAGGUAAUGAUUUUAUACAACAAUUCCAAUAUUAUCAACAAACUCCAUAUAUGAUUACUUUCAAAACCCCUUGUAACCAUAUUCUCUGUAUCCCUCGUGAAUUUAAACCCUACCGAGUUCAGACAGCCUAGCGUGGUGAUACAUACAUUUAUGAAAAACAUUAUUUAAUACAAAAAGGACAGAGUUAUAAUAUACAAUUAGAAACAAUAAAGUCGCAACUUGAACAAGUUUAUAAAGAAAACCCAUUAGCAUUAUGGAAACCAGACCAUCCUAGAGUAAAAAUAGAAUUAAUUGAAAAUAGGAUAAUAAGAUUAAGACCUAUGAUGUACACAGAAGAAGACAAGGAAAAAUUUAAAAUCCAAAUAAAAGAACUCUUAAAUCUAAAACUCAUCCGAACUAGUAAUAGUCCACAUAAUAGUCCAGCCUUUAUGGUUAGAAAAAGAGCAGAACAGGUUAGAGGAAAAGCAAGAAUGGUAAUAAAUUAUAAAAAACUAAAUAAAUAUACAAAAUUUGAUGAAUAUUUUCUCCCGAAUAAAAAAGUAUUAAUAAAUCUUGUAAAAAAUAAAACCUAUUAUUCAAAAUUUGACUGUAAAUCAAGAUUUUGGCAUAUAAAAAUGGAAGAAAAUAGCAUUCCUUAUACAGCUUUUAGUACCCCACAAGGACAUUACGAAUGGCUAGUAAUGCCUUUUGGACUAAAAAAUGCCCCUCAAAUUUUUCAGUGUCGAAUGGAUAAAAUAUUUAAAGAUUAUAAAUAUAUUCUAGUCUAUGUUGAUGAUAUAUUAAUCGCAUCUGAAACCAUAAAAGACCACAGGAACCAUCUAAAAGAAUUUGUUAAUAUAAGUAUUAGAGAAGGGAUAGUGUUAUCAGAAAGAAAAGCAAUUAUAGAACACAAGAAAAUAGAAUUUUUAGGAAUGAUUCUUGACAAAAAAGGAAUAAGACUUCAAAGUCAUAUAGGAAGAAAGAUUAUAGAAUUCCCAAAUAAGUUGGAAAAUUAACAACAAAUACAAAAAUUUUUAGGAUGUUUGAAUUAUGCAGAAGGAUUUAUAAAAGACUUAGCAUAAAAGAGAAAUAUACUUCAAAAAUUAUUAAGAAAAAAUAACACUAGAGGAUGGAGUGAAGAACACACAGAAACUGUAAAAACUUUAAAGGAAGAAUACAAAAAUCUUCCAGCAUUAAGAUUACCCGAAGAAAAAGAUAAAUUAAUAAUACAAACGGAUGCAUCUGAUCUAUAUUGGGGAGCAAUUCUCAAAACUGAUAUAAACGAAAUUUGCCGAUAUACUAGUGGAACGUUAAAUCAAGCACAAGUCAAUUAUCCCGUACAUGAAAAAGAACUCCUUGCAAUAUAUAAAGGAAUUAAAAAGUUCUCAUUAUUUUUGCUCCAAAAGCAAUUUAUCGUAAAAACAGAUAAUUCCCAAGUAAGUUCUCUUGUUAAUAGAAUUUUACCAAAUGAGUCUCAAUAUAGAAGACUACAUAGAUGGCAAGUUUAUUUGUCUUAUUAUAAUUUUAAAAUUAUUCAUAUAAAAGGUACUAACAAUUUCCUUGCAGAUUUCCUAGGCAGAAACAUAGAAUUCGGAAAAUGAAUGCAAAAGUAAAUAAAACCCUAUCUGCAAUAAAUACUGAAAUACAAAGGCUCAAGGCCGAGACAUCUGACAUGCUUGAUGCAAUAAAUUACAUGAAAGAGGCAGCAGAGAGCCAUGAGAAGGGAAUACAUUUGUUAGAGUCAUAUAUAAAUGACCUAACAAAAUGGCUUUCAAUAAACACUAGCCCAAUAAAUAUAGGAAGCAGUAGUGGACCAAACCCACAGCAAGAACCGGUCUCUGAUCCAAUUGUCAGCCGAACCAUAUCCAUAGAAACCGAAUCACCAAAAGCAACUUCUUCAAAAAAGUUUAUCAAAAUAAACAACUCCUCCACAAAAGAAGAAGAAAAAUCAUUUCCUCUAAAUCCAAAAGAAGAAGAAUAUAAACAGUUUUCCAUAUGGAUAUAUUCUACAUGUUCCCACAACAAUACAAUCUUCAAAUCUCUAGGAAAAAAUAUGUAUCCCAGGAUGAUAGCCAUAAAAGGAGCAGAUCCACUCCUUGUUGGAAAAAUAGCUAAAUACGGGUAUCUAGACUUAGUAUAUCCAGACAUAGACCUUAGGAAAAUAGCCAGUUUAGAUGAGCUAUUAGUCAAAGAAGUUUCUAAAUUUGCCCAAAAAAAGUCCAUAUAUUUAAAAUUCUAUACCAUUAAUCCAGAAUACCAUAAGAAUAUAGAAUACCAAGCAUAUUAUAUGAUCUCAGUGGGACAUAUUAUAAAAAAUUUCCAAUUAGAAGUAGGAACAGAAUAUACAAAUGUUCCCCAUAUAACCAAUACAUGGAUAAGAACCCGUAGAGCUCGAGGAAUAAAAACAAUAUGGAGUAUUGCUAAAGAUCUCUAUAAGAGAAAUUAUAGAACAAUUAUCCGUUUUCAAAACUAUAUCCUUGUGACUUCAGAAGAGAGCCAUACACCAUCUAAUAUCCUUCUAGAAUUCAUCAAUGAAAUCAGUACCAUGAGAUUUCCCAGUAGCAGUGAAACCAUGCAACAAGCUUAUCAGCUUAUGGAAACAAAGUAGACUGGCUGGUGGCAGACAAGUGGCAGAUAACAAAAGGAUAAAAAGAUGCUCGUGGCAGACAGCUCGUGGCAGACAAAACGAAGUGCCCGACAAGAUAAAAAGAGAAAGAGAUGAUAUUAUUUUCUUUGAUAAUAAUGAAAAGAUGUAAGCAAUGAUGUAAGCGGCCAAUAAUGUAAAAGGCCAAUAAUGCAGAAGCCCAAUAAUACAAGGGCAAUAAUGUAAACUUAACAAUGUUGGCAAUAAAUAAAAGAGAAGAGAAAGAAGAGGAAGACCUCAGACUUUCCAGACAUUCCAAAAAACGUUCUUUCAAAAUUUAAAUUCUCUCAACAAUGAUUCUGUAAACACUUCCUUGCUCUAAAACCAUAAAUCAAAUCGUCAUAAAUCAUUAACACAAUCAUCAGAGAAAAGGGAAAGAAACCUAAACUUAUCCAACACUUCUUUAAUAAGCCGAUCAAAAUCCAUACAGUAAAGCCAUCUGAGUCCUCAGAUCCCGCUGAGGCAGGAGGCCGUUAAGGGAAUUGGACAUCCAGGCUGCAGGUCACUGGAAGGAGAUUGGAAAGAGAAGAAGUGAAAGAAAGUUAGGUAAUAAUUCUUAAACUUUAUCUUUUGGUGGAGGUUGUUGCUGAUUAAGUGAUGAAAUGAUUUGUGGAGGAAGAGCAAAUUUUCAUAAUGAAUCAAAUCCUUGAUUAUCUUUUGUAAAAUGAAUCAUAAAUUUUAUUUAGGAGAAUCUAAAGAAUACAUGAUAAAUCCAACUACAAAAUAACAUAUAAUGAUUAUAUGAUGAUCAUAGACUUUAAUUUAAGAUUAUUUAAACAGAGUUCAUAUUUGUUUAGUAAACAGGAACUUGUAAGAACAGAAGAUUUAUUAGCUAUAUACUCACUAGAUUUACCUCAAGAAAUAAAACAAAGGAUCAUAAAUUAUAUCAAAAUAGAUAAUCUAAAACAUAACAUAAUUAUGUUAACUAUAGAAGAAGGAAUAGAUGUAGCAAAAGCAUACUUGGAACAAAAAAGUUAUAGAGAAGAACCUUCUUAUAGUUAUAAUUCUGAUAACGAAGAAUUUGAAAUAUAAAUUAUAAAUCUCUUCACAUAAAUAUGGAUAAGUGUAUAUUGGCUGGAAACCAAGGUGUGCGAACUACUGGCUCAAAGGAGAUUUAAAUAUCUUGGGUUACCAAGGAUCUCAUCACUCUGGUAAAACAACGCCACGUACAACUAUUCGCUGGUAUUAAAUAAAAUGUAUCAUACAUUUAAAACAUCUUUUUGUUAUAUACUUUGAUUAUUUUGUAAAUCUAUUUCUAAUAUAAAAUAAUAAUAUAGCAUUCAGUUUGCUUAUUUUGUUCAUAGCUGGUAAUUACAAUUAUCUGGUUGUUAUAAUUAACUCUGUUGUGUAUUUUGUAAACCAAUUCGUAAAUUAUUGUUUUUCAUUUUUUCUGUUGUUCGUUUUUUCUAUUUGUCUGUGAACAAGAUGGUAUCAGAGCCAUGAAAAAUCCAAGACCAUAAACAUGGAUCCUAUACAAUUGAGGUUGUUGCUGAUUAAGUGAUGAAAUGAUUUGUGGAGGAAGAGCAAAUUUUCAUAAUGAAUCAAAUCCUUGAUUAUCUUUUGUAAAAUGAAUCAUAAAUUUUAUUUAGGAGAAUCUAAAGAAUACAUGAUAAAUCCAACUACAAAAUAACAUAUAAUGAUUAUAUGAUGAUCAUAGACUUUAAUUUAAGAUUAUUUAAACAGAGUUCAUAUUUGUUUAGUAAACAGGAACUUGUAAGAACAGAAGAUUUAUUAGCUAUAUACUCACUAGAUUUACCUCAAGAAAUAAAACAAAGGAUCAUAAAUUAUAUCAAAAUAGAUAAUCUAAAACAUAACAUAAUUAUGUUAACUAUAGAAGAAGGAAUAGAUGUAGCAAAAGCAUACUUGGAACAAAAAAGUUAUAGAGAAGAACCUUCUUAUAGUUAUAAUUCUGAUAACGAAGAAUUUGAAAUAUAAAUUAUAAAUCUCUUCACAUAAAUAUGGAUAAGUGUAUAUUGGCUGGAAACCAAGGUGUGCGAACUACUGGCUCAAAGGAGAUUUAAAUAUCUUGGGUUACCAAGGAUCUCAUCACUCUGGUAAAACAACGCCACGUACAACUAUUCGCUGGUAUUAAAUAAAAUGUAUCAUACAUUUAAAACAUCUUUUUGUUAUAUACUUUGAUUAUUUUGUAAAUCUAUUUCUAAUAUAAAAUAAUAAUAUAGCAUUCAGUUUGCUUAUUUUGUUCAUAGCUGGUAAUUACAAUUAUCUGGUUGUUAUAAUUAACUCUGUUGUGUAUUUUGUAAACCAAUUCGUAAAUUAUUGUUUUUCAUUUUUUCUGUUGUUCGUUUUUUCUAUUUGUCUGUGAACAAGAUGGUAUCAGAGCCAUGAAAAAUCCAAGACCAUAAACAUGGAUCCUAUACAAUUAAUAGUUGAUAGUUUAUACACAUUAAAAGUAUAUAAUAAAGAAGAAAUAAAAAAUUUAAUAAAAGCAUUAAAAAUUGAUAAAAAUAAUAUAAGAAAUAUAGAACUUGAGUUGACUGAAGAGCUUAGAGAGAGAAAUAUAAAUACAACAGGAGGAGAAAUAUUGAUAGAAAAGAAAAUGAAAUUUAUUGAUAAAUUUAUAACAUUUUUAGUAUAUUGGUAUAAAACUGAAACACUAUGAAUCAAGCUUUUAAUACGAUACAAGAAUUAGUAAAUAGUACAGAACGUAGGUGUCUAGGAUGGGAAAUCAUAGUAAAUACAUAUAUAAAUUUAAUAAAUCAGAAAAUAGAUUUACUAGAACAAGAAAGAAUAGGAUUAAUAAAUUUAGGACCAGAAAUUUAUUCUGAAUUUAUAGAUUUAUAUGAAUUUGAUAAUCAUUUAUUGUUAUUAAAAGAAAUAAAUAAAACUUUAGAAAAAAUAAAAAAUAGAUGUAGAAGAGAUGGGAGAAGACAAAUACUUCCUCAAUUUUAAAGAAUAAAGAAAAAUAAAAGGACUCAAAUGAAAUUUGCAAAGAAGAAUAAAACAAAAAACGUAAGGUACAUUAAUCGUAACUUAGGCGCUCCCUUGUUUCAAUGUUAUAUCAAUAGUUAUUAUAAAGUACAUUUGGUUAUUCAAAUAAAGGGUAUAAUAAUAUAAAGAGUGCGUGUGUAAAUUGUAAUAAUUUAUUAAACUUAGUAGGGUCUGUGUUAUCAUCAGCAAUCUUAAUCAUUUAAAUUUGAUUCUAAAGGGGGAAUCUGAUAUGGUAUGUUUCAUUUUGUUGGUUGACAAUGUUCAUAAAUAUUUGUAUCACUGUUUCCUUAUGAAGUUUUGGCUUCUGUGUAAGGAAGAGAAGGAAGAAGAUUAUUGAACUCAGAAAAAGUGACAUGGAUUAACAGAGAAAGAGAGAUGUUUUUUAGUGUAAUAUUAAAGAUAGCCAUUCAUUUUUGUAUGGCUUAAAAGCAUUUUAUUUAAGUCAAUGGCAACCCCACGAGAGAUUAGUCCUCAAUGAGAUUUGCAGAAAACAAUAAUAAAGAAUAAGCUAAAUGAAGCCAUUGACCUGAUUUUUUGUGAUUACUUUUCAAUGUGGGGGUAAAAUAAUGAAGAAAAUUUCCACCUCAGAGUUUUUUUUUUUAACUAAUUAAAUAUCAUGUUACUUUAUUAUAUAGAGAUAUUUACAACUGCUAUGACAGCAGGUCAUUAUAUACCUAGGACUUACAUUAUUACAUUUUUUAUUCUAUGAAAUACAUGUCCAGCCAAAUACCCCUCACGAGGGAGGGAUGUCUCUACUCCACUCGCAUUUCGCAAGGGAGAAAGACGUUAUAAGUAAUCUCCACACAAUUAUGAUUAAUUGAGAGAGUUUUUGAGUCCGUGGAGACUCGAACCAUUGCCCUUAUAGUCAUGCUUAACUUUAAGGGUAAUGGUUCACCACUGGGCUACAAGCUCAAGUGGCCACCUCAGAGUUUUAAGUUAAGCCUAGCACACCUCUAGUUAAAUUCUUUUGCCACCCAUAUGGACAGAUUCAAAUCUCAAACUUUUUGUAUCAACUCAAAAGAUUUCAACAACUAAAUUAUCUAUCACUCGCGAAAAGUGUAGUGUGUGCCUUAGGCUCCAAUUCGAGAUAAACCAAUGAGAAGAAGAAGAACAUUUGUCAUUAAUUGCAUGUUAUUCAUUUAUUUAUUUUACAUUCAUUAUUGGCAAAAUUAAACCUAAAUAUCACCGAAAGAUCACUCCUUCACUGAUUCAGACAUUAACAACUCUGUUGAAGAAUCUGAUUCAAUCUCUCUUCCGGAUAUAUGUCGAGAAGAAGAUGAGGUAAUAUUUUAACCUAUAUAUUGUUCUUCCUGUGGCGCUGAUGGGAGCAAAAUCAUUUUCCUUGGGGUGAAAUUUUGCAAGGGCCGAAAUCUGAGACCUUGGGAAAGGAAUUAGGAUCUAGCAGGAUGUUGUGAGACUUAAAUGUUGAAAUGAAGACUGCACACAUCACAUCCGUUCUGUAAAUACUCGAUCCCGCGAGCCUUUUCUAAAGCAACCUAGCUCAUGGAGUUUCUACCAACUACCCUCCUUGGGAACUAUAAGUCUAUCAAUAAAGGAAUGCUCUUUCAGCGAUAGUUAUGCUUUAUUUUUUUCAAUGAUGUGUUUAAAAAUAGACUAAAGUUUUCGUAUUCUUUAUGCACCCUGUGCUUGCAUGGGAAGGUAUCAUAGGUGCAGAGGUUUCCUCUCUAUAAAAUGUUUUUAUAUUAAUUUUGUGCCACUGUAAUGAACUCUGUUGUGUUUCAUUCGGUAUGUAAUCUGCCAUAAAUGGAAUCAGAUUUAGCAGUCUAGUUACUAAUAAUCAUCUACUUGACAAGUUGAAAUUUCUAAGGGCCUACUUCAGAAUCAGAGACGACGGUGCACAUUUUGAAAGACUUUUGAAGUCUCACUUCGUUGCUUAUCUGAAACUAAAUGAUUAAUCAAAAGAUUCAUCAGCAAUUAGGUAGCAUUGAUUUUAGUAGGGAAGGAUAGCGGGGUAUAAUAAAUAAUAGGAAAAAAGACACCUACACUCUAAUGUUUGAAAAAAUAAUUAUAAAAACUCCCAAGUCUUCAAUAAAAAACAACAAGGUUUUUUUUUUUUUUGCUAUAAUACCCUUUAACUCUAUAAAUCUAAAAAAUUUACUCUCAAAUUUUAUAAUCUAUAGAAACAUGACAUUAAAAUAAAUGUAAUAAUAUAUACAUUUGAAAAAUAUCUAAAAAUAUAUUUUUAUAUUUUACAAUCUAUUUGACUUAUUUUAUUGCCGUACAGCAGUAAAUAGAAAUAUAAUAUUAAAAUAAAUUAAUUAAAAUCAAAAUUAUUUGAAUAUUAUGUAAAAAUAAUUUUAAUAUUAUUAAAAGGGAUAUAUUUUGUUAAUUGUAAAUGAAACGACCCGCCCCGAAUCCCCCCAGGCGAGUCUAUCUAGUCUCAUCAAGACAGACUUGAUAAUAAUUCUAUUCGUAAGAUUCUGCCGAAAAUUCGACAGAGUCUCCUUUAUAUAUAUAACACUCCCAAUAUACAAAUAUGAAUAUAACACUCCCAAUACAAUUUAAUAUACAACAAACUCCAGUGCUCAACAUCCUCAACUAAAAUGCUGAGUUUUAUAUCUCCAGAGUCUCAAAAGAUAAUAUUAUAACUAAUAUGAACAUCUCAAUUUAUUCUUAAUCCCAAAAGAAUAAUAUAACAAAAGUAUACAAUCCCAAAAGAACAAGAUGACCAAGAUGUCCUAACAAAAGCAUCUAUAUCUUCUAACACCAUCACGUGGCCAAGACUCAAAAUAUAUUUACAGUCGCUAGGUCGGUCUGGUGUACCUGCAACCUCCUGGUGAGGGGGGGAAAAUAUAAUAAAAACGGGAUGAGUUUAAAACUCAGUGAGAUCAGUAAGUGGAUAGUAGUUUUGAAAAUUAAUCCUUACUUUAAAAGAAAUAAUCAUACCAUUUCCAAACACGAUUUCAUUAAACCAUAAGCGAGAAACCAGUAAUAAGUCAUACCACAAUAUCAUAUAGAAUUCACAAAUCUGAAAAUCAUCACCAAACAAGUAUCCAGGGAAAUAAUUUUGUCAUAUCCGGACCUCAACGGACGGGCAAUGACGUAUUAUCUGGGUAACGUCACGCCCCGGAGCUACACGGAUAAACAAGGAAAUACCAUCUCAUAUCUCAUCAUAUCUGUGCAUGCAUAAUCUAUUCCCCAAAUGACAAAAGCGCCCAAGCACACGGCCCAAAGCCUCUGUGUGUACUCAGACGGGCCCCAAAGGCCUGUAUCUCAUAUGUAUCAUAUGUAUCAUUUGUAUCUCAACAGCUGUCUGUAUCUCAUAUCAGUAUAUCUGUACUCAUCAUACCGCAUGCAUAUGCCCCCAAAAGACAAAAACGCCCAAACACACGGCCCAAAGCCUCUUUGUGUGUUCAGACGGGCCCCAAAGGCCUCUCAUCUGUAUCACUGUAUCUGGAGGGAAGGGUACUGUCUAAUGAUUUCAAAAACAAUCAGUCUACUCAUAUUCACAUACCUCUUAACCAUAUUUUAAAUCAUACCUUGAAUCCACUUUUCUUAUCUUUAAAAUACUAUCAUACUUUAUUCAAAAUCGAUACACAAAAUCAUUAACCAAACAUUUCGAGAAAUUAUUAAAUCAGAACAUUUAAAAUACUUAUUUCGCAAACAUGCUUUACUAUUAUAAUUAACUAUAAAAAUAGGUUUUGUAUAUUCCACUCACAGUGACGGUGUUCACGGUCAGUUAUCGUCCACGUCCGCGGACCGGUUCUCGCUCGCGAAUCCUCCUAAAUCAAGGAAAUGACAUAAUUAUUUUCCGUAAAUCGGAAUUACGACUAAAUUUAUGCAAUAAACUGGAAACGAACAUCUAUCCAUAAUUGACAACUCCCGUGUCCAUAAAAUUACUAAAAUGCCCUUGAGUCCGUAAAUCAUUAACACAUACUCUGAAAUCGUACAUCACCGAAUUACCCUCGGAAUCGUAAUUACACCCACUCCUCAAUUCUAGGAAUUACUAAAAUAUCCACAAGCUCAGAAAUUAUAAAAUUGCCCUCAUAGUGUGAAAUUACCAAAAUGCCCUUGCCGGUCAACGGUCACCGGAAUUUGGUCAACGCUAGCUAGGAAGCUCAAUUCUAAAAGUUCCAAUCACGCUGAGUUCAAUGGUACUGGCGGUGAGCUCCAACACGCGGCAACGGCGCCGGAAUCGAGCUCGGCAGCCGUGAAUUCCAACAAUCGACCGACGGCAAAACAGUGACUCUCGGUGCCUAUGGAUGGUCGAAAAUGGAAGAGGGAGUCGUGGGGAACAAGAUCCAACCGGUGGUGUCACCCAAAACCAGCGAAAAUCCCGGCGGAGCAAAGUGCAACAGUCGCGGGUUUCAAGCUUCGAUCGUCGGUGUUCCGGUUGGUUUUCGGUGACGAGGAUGGCAAGGGAACGACGGUCGGCUUCUAAGCUUCAGAUUGGUACCAAGCUCGGCCGAAAUGGCAGCCGGAAAUGGGAGAUAUGGUCGGGUCAAGGUCGUGGGUUCCAGGUCGGGUUUUCGGGUCUGUAGUUGGGUCGGUUUGGCAGCCUCUCUCUCACUCUCUGUUACACGUGCAUAUGUUGCUCUGUUUUCCAGCUUCUUCUUUUGUUAACUUCUUAACCGCCUCUUUUAUUCAUUUUAAAAUUCACAUAUGUUAUAGUAAAAUUCAACCCAAAGACUUUAUUUAAAAUCUUUACAACAAAUACAAAUCUAUUAUUAAAAUAAAUAUAAUAAUUUAAAUUUUUAUAUUAUUUUAAAUGUCAAAAAUAAUUUAAUAUUAUUAGUUUACUAGAUAGAUUAUAUUAUUUAUAUUAAAUUUUAAUUAAAUAAAAAACUUCAAAGUCAAUUUCCUAAUUAAUAAAUUCAAAGGGUAUUAUGAUUAAAAAUGGGUCUUGAUGUCUCAUUUUAAAAACUUGAGAGUUUUUGUAAUUAUUUUCUCACACCUUAAGGGUAUAAUUAUCUUUUUUCCUCAAUAAUAUUAUAAAUUGAAAAAAUUCAUCCAUAGUUGUAUUAAUGUUGUAUAACUCGAACACAUCAAAGAUUUUAAGCGAUAAAUAAAACAACCAGAGUCAAACAAAAACUCAAUUUAGUGGUUUUCAAGCGUUCCAAUAACAAGAAGGACUAAAUAAUUUAGCUUAUAAUCGGGGAAAAUUUGAAAUAAAUUAACAAUAUCCCUUUUUAAUUGUAAUCUUCUGCUAUCUAGAUCAAUUGAUUGCACCUGCCUCAACAUCAGCAGAGACAAAGGGCAUUGGAGGGAUCUCCAAGCUUUGUAAAUCAGCUUCAAGCAUUUGUAACACAAUUGGCAUGGAAGGUCUCUCCGUGGGAUUCCAUUGAAUGCACCAAAUUGCCACAAUUGCAAGCUUUCUGGCAAUUCCCUCAUCCCCAUCUUCCUCAAAAUCCAAACAGAGCUCUUGUCCUUGCCUCAUUCUAUUGUAAAUCCACUCCGGAAAAUAUAUUUGGCUCUGAAUUUCAACCGCAGGAUCAUUAUUUUUUCUGCAUCCGACCAUCUCUAACAGCAUCAUUCCGUAACUGUAAACAUCAGACUUGUAAGAGAUCUCACCAAAAUUCCUGGAGAAAAGUUCAGGUGCAAUGUAGCCAGAAGUGCCUCUGGCAGCUGUCAGAGAUACAAUGCUUAUGUCCUUUGAGCACAACUUAGCCAGUCCAAAAUCUGAAAUCUUCGGUUGAAAAUUAUGGUCUAAUAAUAUAUUGUGAGGCUUGAUAUCGAAGUGCAGGAUCCUCUGGUUGCAUCCUUGGUGCAAGUACUCCACUCCACGGGCAACGCCAAAUGCAAUCUUCCUCAGCUUCUCCCAACUCAAUUGACGGUGACUUGAGCUAUUUGUCUUUGAGAAGAUGAAUUUCUCAAGUGAUCCAUUGGGCAUAAACUCGUAAAUAAGAGCGCGACGAUUCCCUUCAGAGCAAAAUCCCAGAAGCCGAACAAUGUGAAAGUGGUGAAUCCUGCCAAUUGUGGCCACUUCAUUGAUGAACUCUUGUCCAUUUCCUUUUAAAUGUUCCAACAUCUUGACAGCAACUGGAAUUCCGUUGAAGAGUUUUCCUCUGAACACACUUCCAUAACCUCCCUGGCCGAGCCUGUGCUUAAAUCUGCUUGUUAUUUUCUUCAGUUCUUUGUAAGUAUAUCUGGUAGGAUUGACGGUCCUGUAGUUUUCUAGGAACUUCUCCACCUUCAGUUGAGUCUCUUUUUCUUUUUCAGAUUCUCUUGAUCUGUAAAUGAGAAAUAUCACUAAUGCAAAGAGGGUGAUGCCUCCAAUGCUUGUGCCUGUGGAUAUUAGACUUAUUGAUAAAGGGCCAGGACCAUCUGUUAUAUAUAACUAAGAAAAGUUAGUUAAAAAAUUAACUCAAACAAUAAAAUGAGAUGCUAAAAGUCUGGACCCGUGCAAGCUUAACUUGGUAGCAUAAAGACUCUAAUAUCAUUUGAUUGGGUUUUAACAAGUCCCUCUCAUGUGACCAUCUCAUAUAGGUAUUUGUCCAUAACUUAAAUGAGAAUUAUAUAUCUUAUUCACAUGGGUGGAUAGAUAAUUAGGUUGUCAUUUAACUAAAUAAUGAAAAAAAUACUAAUAAGCAGAAGAUGAAAUUAUUUGAACUGCAAAGUAAGCACUCUUUUACCUUACACACUUUAAUUUUAAAAUUUUAACUUUUACUUGAGUACACAAUGAAAACACCAAAAUUAUCACAAUUAGAAAUCUCUGUCUUUAUGUUUUUUUUUUUCCCUUUCUGCAUUCACAAAAUGAUUUUUUUCCCCUCAUCUCUUAUUCCAUGUGAAUAUUGAGGGUUACUUGAUUGAACAAAUUUUUUUCUCAAUAAAUUUUCCAUCAUGAACUUAAUCAUAGAGAAAAAGUAUUAGUAUAAUAAUUCUUCUUAAUUUGUGUUCAUUGAGUACGCAAGAAAAUAUAAUAGGUUAAACUUUUAUCAGGCAUUGUGAGUUUAAUCAAUCUCUCACCAUUUACGAAAAUUAAUUGUAAUAUAAAGAUUCAAAGAUUAAAUUGACGAGAUAGAGAAAAUUAGUAUUAUGUAUUUGGUCCUGAGUAGUAUCAAUUUUUCUUCAAACAGUCAAAUCAGCCUGGCUAGCAACAUUUUAUUAACCAAUCUACAACUGGCACGAAUACCAGAAAGCAGCCUUUAAUAGCAAUGAUAUUCGCCAUACAGAUUAGGGGUAGGUAAAAUUAUAUUUGCCGCCAAAAAAAUGAAUCGUUAGUCUUUUUUUUUUUUGGUUAAAAAAAAAUCCAUCGAUUUAUAUGAGAGAAAAUAAAAAGCCAAAAAAACUAGAAAAACGCAAAAGAAAUUACAGGUCAAAGGGAAAAAAAAAAGCCUAACUAAAUCGAACCAAAUUGAUUGGAUUUUCAAUUCAGUUCAAAUUGUUAAUUUUUUGAAAAACUCACCAUCGGAAUUCAACUAAAUCUAACCAAAAGUGAAAUAUAGAUGGCUUCUUUAAUUUUUAACUUCUAGCAAUUGUAAUUACACUUUUACAAUUGAAAAAAUAAUGCAAAGCCUAAUUAUUAUUAUUUUUUCUUUUCAUUUACACUGCUCUGAUAAAUUUUCCGGCAUAUAUAACAAUGAUAAUAAAUUUGAUUGGGUUUUAACAAGUCCCUCUCAUGUGACCAUCUCAUAUGGGUAUUUGUCCAUAACUUAAAUGAUAAUUAUAUAUCUUAUUCACAUAGGUGGAUAGAUAAUUAGGUUGUCAUUUAACUAAAUAAUGAAAAAAUACUAAUAAGCAGAAGAUGAAAUUAUUUGAACUGCAAAGGAAGCACUCUUAAACCUUACACACUUCAAUUUUAAAAUUUUAACUUUUACUUAAGUACACAAUGAAAACACCAAAAUGAUCACAAUUAGAAAUCCCUGUCAUUAUGCAUUUUUUUUGCCUUUCUGCAUUCAAAAAAUGAUUUUCUUUUCCUCAUCUCUUAUUCCAUGUGAAUAUUGAGGGUCACUUGAUUAAACUAAUUUUUUUUCUCAACAAAUUUGCCAUCAUGAACGUAUAUUGGCUCUUACAUAAAAAGUUGACAAAGACAACCAUAGAGAAAAAGUAGUAGUAUAAUAAUUCUUCUUAAUUUGUAUUCAUUGAGGACGCAAGAAAAUAUAAUAGAUUAAACUUUUAUCAGGCAUUGUAAGUUUAAUCAAUCUCUCACCAUUAACAAAAAUUAAUUUUAAUGUAAAGAUUCAAGAUUAAAUUGACGAGAUACAGAAAAAUAGUACUAUCUAUUUGGUCCUGAGUAGUAUCAGUUUUUGUUCAAACAGUCAAAUCAGCCUGGCUAGCAACAUUUUAUCGACCACUCUACAACUGGCAAUAAACCUAGAAUGCAGCCUUUAUAGCAAUGAUAUUCCCAUACAGAUUAGGGGUGGGUAAAAUUAUAUUUGCCGCCAAAAAAAGGAAUCGUCAGUCUUUUUUUUUAGUAAAAAAAAAAUCCAUCGAUUUACAUGAGAGAAAAUAAAAAAUCAAAAAAACUAGAAAAACGCAAAAGAAAUUACAGGGCUAAUUAAAAAAAAAAACUAACUAAAUCGAACCAAAUUGAUUGGACUUUCAGUUCAGUUCAAAUUAUUAUUUUUUUGAAAAACUGACCAUCGGAAUUCAACUAUAUCUAACCUUUGCUCAGUGCCCACCCCUAUUAAUAUAGAUGGCUUCUUUAAUUUUUAACUUUCUAGCAAUUGUACUUACACUUUUACAAUCGAAAAAAAUAAUGCAAAGCCUAAUUAUUAUUAUUAUUUUUUUCAUUUAUACUGCUCUGAUCACUUUUCCGGCGUAUAAAACAAUGAUAAUAAAUUCAACUUAUUAUUUUUAUUGUUAGCUAAAUAGAGACGAUGCUUUCACUUUCAAGCACUGUAGAGAGAGGUGACUGAGGAAAAGUAUGGCUACUUACGUUUUUGGUGUUUAACGGCAACGCAGAUUGUCGAAUUGCUUGUAGUAUUGAACCCACAAUAAACGCAGAUUGUCGAAUUGCUUGUAGUGUUGAACCCACAAUAAUUCCCUUAAUUUUCGCAGUGGUAGCAUCCAUCAAGAGCUUCCCAUCCUAAGACUACUGGUCUUGCCCUGGCCGUCGUAGCAACAUCCUGCAGAGGUAAUCCACCAGGAAUCUCAACUGUUCGAGAUUUUCUGCAAGAUGGAGGCAUUUCCUCCAUUAAAUAUUCGCUAUAUAUGAUAUACACAAGAUUGUUUUCGCUGCCGAGACAAUUGAUCGGUCCAAUUGCUUCAAAAGGAGUCCGUUCUGAAGCAGCCUUCUCAGUGCAGUUAUAUAAAGCGUAACUGUCAUUAAAGGGAAGAAAAAAGAAUUUGGAGCUUGUGAGGUUGAAUGAGAUAAGACUUUGAAACGGGCAUGCAGUCUCAUUCACAUCUGUAAUGUUAAUACUGCUAUCUAGAUAAGAAAUUUCAUGGACAUAAUAAUCACCAGAGGAAGGAAGAUGCCAGAUUGCCUUGUCACUUAAGCAUGACAAUUCAAACCCUUCAAGGCCACAAGAUAUCGGUUGAGUUUUGAGUCUGAAGGGAUAUCUGAUGCUUGGGCUCCUAUUACUGCAUCUUGUUGGUUGACAGAAUUCAUAUUUAUCUGUCUUGUUGUCUUCCGCAGAAGCUUUGGCUAAUGUACAUGUAUAAGGUAAGAAGAGGACGAGGAUUAUUAAACUCAUCACGAGGGACAUGGAGGGCGAGGGAGAGUGGAGUUUGAGUUAGAGCGGGGUUUUGAGUUAUGCUUUUGGAGUAAUGAGGGAGAGCAGAGUUUGAUUGUCAAUUUGUCAAGGAAAAAGGUAGGAAAAUGGGUUUCUUUUAAUUUCUUCUGUUUUUCUAAGUCAAUGGUAGCCCCAAAGAGACUAGUCAACUUCAAAAUCUGCCAAUAUCAGAUGCAUGGAGGAACAAGAUGAGACUUGCUGUUUGUGAUAUAGAUUUUAGUGAGAGUUGCGAAAGUAAUUUGUCGGUAAAGAAAUGAGAAAAUUAUGUUUUUAAGAUCAGUAAGUAACGUUGUUCUUUAGAAAACGGGUAAUUCCUAGCAGCUAGCAUGAUAUAUCAGUGGGAGACUAAGGGUGUGUUUAGGAUUGAUGGGAACUAUGUGCCUUUAAAUUCACCAUUGUUGUGAGAUGGAAUUAUUAGCUAUUAAGUAAAAGUGGAUGCGUGGUGAUAUUUAGGUGUCUGCCAUAUACUUUGGUAAUUGUACUUUAAAUUAAGUUCAGCAGGAGCAAAGAGUGCAGCAAGCAGCGUUGGAAAAGGUUGAUGAAUGUACAUGAUCACAUGACAAACCUACAUCAUAUUCGGGUCAAUAUGAGCAAUAUUUGAAUAUUCACAUCAAACAAUGAAUCGUACUGAAAAUUUUCAACAUAAUGUUAUAGAAGCUCUGGUAGCACAAGGACAAUUUAUUUCUUUUUUACACAUAUCAUUGCCAAAACUAAGCAUAACUAUCAUUGAAAGAACAUUCCUCAAUCGAUUCAGACACUAACAACUCUGUUGAAGAAUCUGACUCAAUCUCUCUUCCGGAGAUAUGUCGAGAAGAAGAGAAGAAAGGUCUCGGAGGCAUUUGCAAAUCGUCAAUACUCCCUUCUAACAUUUCCAAAACUUUUGUCAUGGAGGGGCGAUCAGCUGCCUUCACCUGAAUACACCAUAAACCAAUCAUACACAGUUUCCUUGCAAUCAUGGACUCAAUUUCAGUCAC